GGACGAACGCUGGCGGCGUGCUUAACACAUGCAAGUCGAACGGAAAGGCCCUGCUUUUGUGGGGUGCUCGCGUGGCGAACGGGUGAGUAACACGUGAGUAACCUGCCCUUGACUUUGGGAUAACUUCAGGAAACUGGGGCUAAUACCGGAUAGGAGCUCCUGCUGCAUGGUGGGGGUUGGAAAGUUUCGGCGGUUGGGGAUGGACUCGCGGCUUAUCAGCUUGUUGGUGGGGUAGUGGCUUACCAAGGCUUUGACGGGUAGCCGGCCUGAGAGGGUGACCGGCCACAUUGGGACUGAGAUAGGGCCCAGACUCCUACGGGAGGCAGCAGUGGGGAAUAUUGCACAAUGGGCGGAAGCCGGAUGCAGCAACGCCGCGUGCGGGAUGACGGCCUUCGGGUUGUAAACCGCUUUCGCCUGUGACGAAGCGUGAGUGACGGUAAUGGGUAAAGAAGCACCGGCUAACUACGUG
rnacentral:rRNA from 1 species